UACAGAGGUGGCAAGCGUUGUUCGGAAUUACUGGGCGUAAAGGGCGCGUAGGCGGCCUGGUCAGUCCCUUGUGAAAUCCCUCGGCUCAACUGAGGAACCGCACGGGAAACAGCCGGGCUUGAGUUCGGGAGAGGGAAGCGGAAUUCCGGGUGUAGCGGUGAAAUGCGUAGAUAUCCGGAGGAACACCGGUGGCGAAGGCGGCUUCCUGGACCGACACUGACGCUGAGGCGCGAAAGCUAGGGGAGCAAACGGG
rnacentral:rRNA from 1 species